UACGUAGGGUGCAAGCGUUGUCCGGAAUUAUUGGGCGUAAAGAGCUCGUAGGCGGUCUGUCGCGUCGGCUGUGAAAUCCCGAGGCUCAACCUCGGGUCUGCAGUCGAUACGGGCAAACUAGAGUAUUUGCAGGGAGACUGGAAUUUCCUGGUGUAGCGGUGAAAUGCGUAGAGAUCGGGAGGAAUACCUGUGGCGAAGGCGGCCUACUGGGCCGGACCUGACGCUGAGACGCGAAGGCGUGGGGAGGCGAACGGGG
rnacentral:rRNA from 1 species